AGAGUUUGAUCCUGGCUCAGAUUGAACGCUGGCGGUAGGCUUAACACAUGCAAGUCGUGCGAGAAAGUAUCUUCGGAUACGAGUACAGCGGCGGACGGGUGAGUAACGCGUAGGAAUCUACCUAGUAGAAGGGGAUAGCCCGGGGAAACCCGGAUUAAUACCGUAUACCUCCUUCGGGAGAAAGAAGGCCUCUCUUUGAAGCUUUCGCUACUAGAUGAGCCUGCGUAAGAUUAGCUUGUUGGUGAGGUAAAGGCUCACCAAGGCAACGAUCUUUAGCUGGUCUGAGAGGACGAUCAGCCACAUUGGGACUGAGACACGGCCCAGACUCCUACGGGAGGCAGCAGUGGGGAAUAUUGGACAAUGGGCGCAAGCCUGAUCCAGCCAUACCGCGUGUGUGAAGAAGGCCUUCGGGUUGUAAAGCACUUUAAGCAGGGAGAAAAAGUUAUAAGCUAAUACCUUAUAACCUUGAUGUUACCUGCAGAAUAAGCACCGGCUAAUUCCGUGCCAGCAGCCGCGGUAAUACGGAAGGUGCAAGCGUUAAUCGGAAUUACUGGGCGUAAAGCGCGCGUAGGUGGUUUGUUAAGUUGGAUGUGAAAGCCCUGGGCUCAACCUAGGAACUGCAUCCAAAACUAACUCACUAGAGUACGAUAGAGGGAGGUAGAAUUCAUAGU
rnacentral:rRNA from 1 species